rnacentral:rRNA from 1 species
GGGGAUCGAAGACGAUCAGAUACCGUCGUAGUCUUAACCGUAAACUAUGCCGACUAGGGAUCGGAGGGCGUUAUAAUAACCUCUCCGGCACCUUACGAGAAAUCAAAGUUUUUGGGUUCUGGGGGGAGUAUGGUUGCAAGGCUGAAACUUAAAGGAAUUGACGGAAGGGCACCACCAGGAGUGGAGCCUGCGGCUUAAUUUGACUCAACACGGGGAAACUCACCAGGUCCAGACACAAUAAGGAUUGUCUGAUUGAGAGUUCUUUCAUGAUUUUGUGGGUGGUGGUGCAUGGCCGUUCUUAGUUGGUGGAGUGAUUUGUCUGCUUAAUUGCGAUAACGAACGAGACCUUAACCUGCUAAAUAGCUGUAACAAUAGAUUAUUGUUUUGACAGCUUCUUAGAGGGACUAUCGAUUUUCAAGUCGAUGGAAGUUUGAGGCAAUAACAGGUCUGUGAUGCCCUUAGACGUUCUGGGCCGCACGCGCGCUACACUGACGGAGCCAGCGAGUCUAACCUGUGCCGAGAGGUAUGGGUAAUCUUGUGAAACUCCGUCGUUCUGGGGAUAGAGCAUUGCAAUUAUUGCUCUUCAACGAGGAAUUCCUAGUAAGCGCAAGUCAUCAGCUUGCGUUGAUUACGUCCCUGCCCUUUGUACACACCGCCCGUCGCUACUACCGAUUGAAUGGCUUAGUGAGGCUUCCGGAUUGAUUAACUGGAGAGGGCAACU